rnacentral:tRNA from 1 species
GCCAGUGUGGUUUAGUGGUUUGAGCAUUGGACUAUAACUCUAGAGAACAGGGUUCAAAUCCCUGCUCUGCCA